rnacentral:sRNA from 1 species
AAGAAAAAAACCGAAAACAAAGAGGGAUGCAACACGAAGACUUUCCUGGAGGUCACCCAUCCUAGUACUACUCUCACCCAAGCAC